rnacentral:rRNA from 1 species
UACAGAGGAGCCAAGCGUUGUCCGGAUUGACUGGGCGUAAAGCGCACGCAGGCGGUCUCUUAAGUUUGGAGUGACAGUUGGUGGCUUAACUGCCAAAGUGCUUCGAAAACUGAGAGACUUGAGGGCUUCAGAGGGACACGGAAUUCCGGGUGGAGUGGUGAAAUUCGUAGAUAUUCGGAAGAACACCAGUGGCGAAGGCGACUUACUGGACACAUAUUGACGCUGAGGUGCGAAAGCGUGGGGAGCAAACAGG